GAUGAAGAACGCAGCGAAAUGCGAUACGUAAUGUGAAUUGCAGAAUUCAGUGAAUCAUCGAAUCUUCGAACGCAUAUUGCGCUCUCUGGUAUUCCGGAGAGCAUGCUUGUUUGAGUAUCAGUAAACACCUCAACUCCCCUUUCUUUUUUUGAAAUGGGAGCUGGACUUGAGUGAUCCCAACGCUUUUCUCACCGAAAAGUGGCGGGUUACUUGAAAUGCAGGUGCAGCUGGACUUUUCUCUGAGCUAAAAGCAUAUCUAUUUAGUCUGCCUAAAAAACAGAUUAUUACCUUUGCUGCAGCUAACAUAAAGGAGAUUAGUUCUUGUGCUGACUGAUGCAGGAUUCACAGAGACAGCUUCGGUUGGCCUUUGUAAACUCGAUCUCAAAUCAAGUAAGACUACCCGCUGAACUUAAGCAUAUCAAUAAGCGGAGGA
rnacentral:misc_RNA from 1 species